UACAGAGGUCUCAAGCGUUGUCCGGAAUCAUUGGGCGUAAAGAGCGUGUAGGCGGCCCGACAAGUCUGGUGUGAAAUCUUUCGGCUCAACCGGAAGCGGUCACUGGAUACUGUCGGGCUUGAGUCCGGAAGAGGAGAGUGGAAUUCCUGGUGUAGCGGUGGAAUGCGCAGAUAUCAGGAGGAACACCUAUGGCGAAGGCAGCUCUCUGGUACGUGACUGACGCUGAGACGCGAAAGCGUGGGGAGCGAACAGG
rnacentral:rRNA from 1 species